rnacentral:rRNA from 1 species
UGUAAAGCACUUUAAGUUGUGAAGAAGGCUGUACGGUUAAUAGCCGUGCGGAUUGACAUUAGCAACAGAAUAAGCACCGGCUAACUCCGUGCCAGCAGCCGCGGUAAUACGGAGGGUGCAAGCGUUAAUCGGAAUUACUGGGCGUAAAGCGCACGUAGGCGGCUUUGUAAGUAAGAGGUGAAAGCCCAGAGCUCAACUCUGGAAUUGCCUUUUAGACUGCAUCGCUCGAAUCAUGGAGAGGUCAGUGGAAUUCCGAGUGUAGAGGUGAAAUUCGUAGAUAUUCGG